rnacentral:tRNA from 1 species
GGGGAAGCUGUGGAAAUCUCUCGUUUACACCGAGAAUGUCGACGGUUCGAGCCCGUCAUCGCCCA